CAGAGUAAGGCAGCAGGCUUUUACCUCCCGGCUGUCGUCCCGUGCAUUCCACCCCCUUCCCUCUUGUGUAGUGACCCUUCAUUGUCCUCCCCCACCCCAACUGUUUCCUUUUAGACUGAGGAGGGCAAGGAGGCAGCCCCGGAGAACGAAGCGCCCCCAUCGGGCAGCAGUGCCCCACAGGAGAAUGGCGCAGGGGCGCUUGUGCCGUCACAGGGCAAAGGUGAUCAAAGCUUCAAUGACAGUGAAAUCGAAGAGACAAAUUGAAUCGCACAAGUUGACCUUCCGUGAGAACGCCAAGGCACGCACGGACCACGGGGCAGAUUUUGCGGCCUGCACCGGCAGCCCCUCCUCCUCCUCCCCACCACCACUGAGCACCUCUGUCAGCGAGAGCCUGGGCACCAACACCAACACCGCCAUGUCCUCCUUGCCCCCGCGGCUGCCCUGGCAGGCUCCCCUCGCGGAAGAGACUUCUGCUGCGCUCUCUCGGCCAGGCUUGUGACUCACUUUCCUGCCCCGUUUCCUACCCCCCACCCCAAAUGUCCCCCCCCCCCAGAAUCUCAGCUUGCCUCCCUUAAUCCGUCACCGCCCACCUGCUCGGACUUCGGUGGGGCUGCAGUUAAAUAGUUUGCCAGUUGAACCUUUACGCGAUUCCUGGACUCGAUGGGAUGGGGAGACCUUCUGGACAGGGAGUCCUCCUCCCCCUCAGGCCUCCCCAGUCUCAUUUCAAAUCCUUGCUUAUUUGAAUGCCGGGAUCGAAGUGCAAAUUGCGAAUUGAGCACACAAAUAUUGGAUCCUUCUUAGUGAGCCGCGUGGAAAACCCAGCUCAAGACAACGAGAAAGGGGUUCAAAGGCUGAUGAGAGUUAAGGGGGGCAAGCUUUCUUCCUUUCUCUUUCCAACUUUCUUCCAUCCCGUGGGUCUCCUCUGCACCCCGUUUAGCGCUCUCACAUAUAACGUCAUGCUCAUUAGCAACCCCCGCAAACAACGCCUAACCUUUUAAUUUUCUCGUUCUUCCCCUUGUGCCCCAACGGAGCAGUAUGGCCGUGCCGAGCGUGAUCCCUGUGGCUUCCCCGCCAGCUCCCGCUUCUCUCCCCGCUCAUCCACACCGCCUUUCCCCUGCGCCAUAGGAGAAUUAAAACAAAAACAAAAAAAACCCCCGCACCAUUAUCUAUCUGCUGUUGCAGCGCUGUUGGCUUUGUUAUCCACAUAUCCUGCCAUUUUAAACCGUGUUCUGUUUUUGUUUUCUUUUCUUUCUUUCUUUCUUUUUUCUUUUCUUUGGUGUGGUGGUUCUUUUGCGUGUGUGUUUCAAAAUAUUUGGAGAACGAUGGAGCCAAGGGACUCAAAAGCCACCUCCCCCCGGGGGUGUGUGGGAUGGAUAGUGGAGAUGAAAGUGGACAGGCGAGCAAGUGGGAAGAUGGGCGCUGUACGAGAAAACGGAUGAUGUAGAGCUGGGUCUUUGCAAAAAAUGGCUUCCUGGUGGGCAUUGAAAGUCGGCCACUCCUGCACAAAUACUGGGUGGGUUUCCUUUGAGAUACCCCUGCCUUUGCAGGUGGUUUCCAAAAAAAUGAAACACCAGGAAUCUUGAGCGGUCCAUAUUGAGGAUCUGUUCCGGAGAUUUUGCGACCACCAAGGGACACUGACAUGCACUGGAAUGUCGGAGAAAAAAUUGGGUAGGGAGACAGAGAAAGUGUUUGAAGAUCCGAAAACGCCGGGCUGUGCAGGAUGGGAAUCGGGUCCCUCUGGCUUUGAGUCUCGCGAGGAGCUCCCUGUCUGCGUUCCGUCUUCCACACUGCAAACGACACUAAAAACGAAAGAGUUGUAAAUAAAAUUUAAAAACAACCUGUGGAAUUUUGCUUUCGAACUGCGGGGAACAAGAAGGAGGUUCUUCAAGCAAGCCGGGCGGGGUGAUUGCGGGGGUAUAUGGGGGAAUUUACGUCGGAAGGCGUUGGACGGGAACUGUGUAAAAAUAAUUUUAAAAAAUAAAUAACCUUAUUCUCUUUCCUACCGGGGUCCGGAUGCUCCUUUGGGGGCUCUUUUCCGAGUAGACCGCGGUUUGCAUCUUCCCACCGAGAAUUCUUGCGCUCGUGAUUGUUUUAUAUAUAUAAAUAUAUCUAUUAAAAGUUGCAUGGUUUCUAAUAAAAUAGCUUUUCAAACUGUU
ensembl:lncRNA